ensembl:lncRNA
CGUCCAGCGGCGCGGUCCGAGCAACGCAUUGGAAGAAUGAUUGGGAGUUCGGUUUCCGAGAGCUCGCGGCUUAAUCCUCCGGCAGCGGCAGCGGCAGCGGCAGCGGCAGCGGAGAGCGGCUGCGUGCGGGAGGAGCUCCCUCUGCUGCACGAGCAGGGGAAGCGACCCGGCGUGAAACAGCCGGGAUUCGCUCCGCCCUCGUUCCUCCCUCUGACGCCGGCAGCAGUGGGAAGUCUGGAAACGUGAGCUGUUAACACGGAGAUCAAGGAGAGCCCCGGAAAGCGUUGGAAUUUGGUCUUCGCAGUUAGCGUUGCGGUAGCCGGGUGCUCUGCGCUUUGGCUGCGUGCAGCUGGAAGAGGCGAGGUAGCCUGACUCCGGCAGAAGGGGCACUGCACUUCAUCAGCUGAGCAGAGAUGCACGAUUCAGUUCAGCUGUUUUAACUGUGAAGCUGCUUCUCAAGAGACCAAGAAUAAUAAUGCAAAUUCUACAAAGUUAAUUUAAGAUCCAGUGAUGAUCAGCCAGCUUCAAGCAAGUCUUCAGCAUUUCAGAGGAACUCCCACUGUAAAUGGCUUUGGAUCAGGCCAUCCAUGCUGAAACGUGGUCUUUGAAGGUCACUUUUCACUUCAAGAAUCAACAACCUGGAAACAAAGGAGUGCAAUUAACGCUAAUGUUCCUCGUGGUUUAAAAAAAGUAAUUGUGAAUGGCUUUGAAACCUGACAGUUCAACUGGGAAUGGAGUUGAUUUAAUAACAAGAGAGCAACAAUCACAUGAGGACGCUGCAAUCAUAUGAUUUUUUUGCAUAGUCAGACGCAGCUCUAACUUUGAUUUAUGCUUCUCUCCUUUCUGCGAGAUAAUGAGGGCUUAGUCCCAACAAGCCUGGCAUCCCCAAGGCUAUUGCCUUCACCCCUUUCCCUGGCAGACGGGAGGCUGCUGAAGCAUGGAGCCUACAUAUGCAGGAUGCACUUAGCUGUUCACACGGCCUGGGAUCCUUCUCUUGGUGCUGUUGGGAAUGCAGGAAAAAAGAAGGACAUCCAGCUCUCCUCUCCCUGUAUCCAGCUUCCCACACAUAGGC